AAAAUAUUAAUGAAUAAUUAAAUGUCAUAAAAUAAUAUUAAAAUUAUUUAAGAAGGUUAGAUUGUUAUAUAAAUCAUUUCGGAUGGUUAUAAUGGUUUGGUAUACAAACUUAGAAUGGUAUACUUUGUUGUGAUAGUUUUUGUAAUUGGUUACAUUUAAGAUGUGCAUAUUGUGUAUGAUAGAUUUUCAGAUAGGAAAACAUAUAUAUAUUUCUCCUAAAAUUAGUAUUGUGUAAUUUGGUUAUGAUGGCUAGCAUCGGGUUGGUUGAAACUUAGAGUAGAGUAUGUGUUAGUUUGAUAAUUUUGAAAUGUGUGGAUUAAUAGAUGUGUCAAUGGCACAAGUAAGAUUGUGUAGUAUGAAUUAAUGAAUCCAUAUGUAGACCCACUUAUGAGUUGACGGCGAUGGGGCAUGUGAGAUGGAGUGGAAAUCAUAUGUAAAUUAUAUUGCAUAUUGGUGAUUAACUAAAUAACAUAGACAAAAGUUUAACCAGCGGCCUUGGACUAGUGGUACUUGAGGGGAGAACCCCCAAUACGGUACCCGCAGUUCGAGUUCCGCUGGCCACCCGGACUAGAGUUAAAUCCCAAGAAUACGUGGAGUGCUGUGGGCCUCGCGGGAAUAGUCGGUUGACCACGGUCGCCGGAAACCAGCGGUUACCUAAAAAAAAAAAAAAAAAAAGAAAACAUAGACAGAAGCAUAACUAAUUCAACCGAUUACGACACUAAUCUGUUGGAUACAGAAAUUUUGUAGGAGUAAUAUUAGGAAAUAUCAUAUUUUAAUAAUAUUGAUAUAUUUUGACUGAUUAAGGUAAAUAUCAAAUAUUAAGUUUCUAUUAAAU
rnacentral:lncRNA from 1 species